rnacentral:rRNA from 1 species
GGAAAAGGGGGGGACCUUCGGGCCUUCUGUCAUCAGAUGAGUCUGCGUACCAUUAGCUAGUUGGUAGGGUAAUGGCCUACCAAGGCUACGAUGGUUAGCUGGUUUGAGAGAAUGAUCAGCCACACUGGAACUGAGACACGGUCCAGACUCCUACGGGAGGCAGCAGUGGGGAAUUUUGCGCAAUGGGCGAAAGCCUGACGCAGCAACGCCGCGUGAGUGAUGAAGGCUUUCGGGUCGUAAAGCUCUGUCGAGGGGAAAGAAGUGUAUUGGGGCUAAUAUCCUUGAUACUUGACGGUACCCCUAAAGGAAGCACCGGCUAACUCCGUGCCAGCAGCCGCGGUAAUACGGGGGGUGCAAGCGUUGUUCGGAAUUAUUGGGCGUAAAGAGCGUGUAGGCGGUUUGUUAAGUCUGAUGUGAAAGCCCUGGGCUCAACCCAGGAAGUGCAUUGGAAACUGGCAGACUUGAAUACGGGAGAGGGCAGUGGAAUUCCUAGUGUAGGAGUGAAAUCCGUAGAUAUUAGGAGGAACACCGGUGGCGAAGGCGGCUGCCUGGACCGAUAUUGACGCUGAGACGCGAAAGCGUGGGUAGCAAACAGGAUUAGAUACCCUGGUAGUCC